CGGCAUUUCCAUGCUGCUGCCUCAGCCGCGUCCGCCAUAGGCGCCACCGCGACCGCCACCGCAGCCUCUGUAGCGGCCACCUCAGUGGUUGUGGUCAGCACGGUUGCUGGAUCCACCCCGUUGGGUGUGGUUGCCGCGGCCGCCAUUCUGUCGGGGGUGGGCGGGGUGGCGCCUAUGGUGGACGCGGCCGAGGUGACAGCAUGGAAAUGCCGACUUGGGUUCGCGAGAUGGCAAAAGAGAAGAACAGCUGCUACCAUUGCGGAGAGCCCUUUGGCAAGGGCCACCUAUGCGGCAAACGGCCGCGUUACAACAAGGACCGCAAAACAGCGGAUGCCUAGGAAGUUGCCCACGCCGUAGCCUCAGGCAGCUCGUGUGGGGAACCGAUGGACAUAGAGGAACCAACCCGGAAUCCACCAAUGGUGGACUGCAGCCAUUUCGUACUUCGUUCAGUAUUUUUGCGUCUGCAGAAGGCCUCGAAAACCCGAAGCACAGUACUUUGUUUUCCGGCUUGGGCCUGAAUGUGCGCCUCUAUGCCUUCUAUUCUCCUCGACAUUUGGUCGAGUUUGUCCAUCAGCAGCUUAUUAAAGUUGUCGUCGUGUGGGGCUCCACCUGUUGGGUGUGCCAUGUGGUCCAUAGCGUCAGUUCGCGUGAUAAUACGUGCAACAUUUUGUUGCGGGGACCUAAGCACCAAUCUACAUGGUGGCAUUGCGCCAAUUGGGUGGUGUGGGUGGGAAAGUGGUGGCAACCCCCCCUCAGGCGGGACGAGGUCAGCCGCAGUGGUGUCAUUACAUUCACGCUCUUCGUGCAACUCACCCUGCCGUGUGCCGCGUUGCGGCUGGAGCGCGGCCGUGGGCAAAGUUACCCUGGUCGGCCCCGUGGCGGCAGCCGUUGGCUGCGCAGUAUGUGGGCGCGAUGGUCCUGGCCCUGUUGGGUCGUGUGCUCCGUUGUUGUCGGCAUCCUGCGCCGCAGUGGCUAAGCGUUCCCGCAGUUCGCGGCUUUUCUGCACAUAAGAGAGUUCCUCAUUAGCUUCCAUUAGGAAGCCUAGUGCGGAGCGAUAGUCUUGCUCAUCACAAAAUUGUCUGACUUUGUCAAACAUGUGCGACGGCGGUGUGAUGCCCCUACGCUGGGCACGUCUCACGUACUUAUCGUACAUUUCCUGGACCUUAUGUACCAGUUUCUUCGCUUUGGAGGGGCUCACCUGGCGCAGCUGAUAGCGCUCGUGGUCGGCCUCCGCCGACUGGGCGCGUUGGGGGUUCCUUGGGCUCGCCAUGUGAGUUAGAUAGAAAAUGGUUCUAAAAUUAGAAUGUGAUUGCGGAAGCGAUGGAGUGCUUGACUCCGAGGUCGUUUGACCGGUUGGUCAAAGAUACCAAAAUUGUAACAAAGCUCGGCAGUUGGCGAAGCAGUUACGAAGGGAAAUAUCCAACGAUAAAAA
rnacentral:lncRNA from 1 species